rnacentral:rRNA from 1 species
GAUAUUUCACAAUGGGGGAAACCCUGAUGCAGCGACUCCGCGUGAGCGAAGAAGGCCNNNGGGUCNUAAAGCUCGGUUCCGAGNGACNGUAAUGACGGUACCUCGGGAGUAAGCCCCGGCUCACUACGUGCCAGCAGCCGCGGUAAUACGUAGGGGGCAAGCGUUAUCCGGAAUAACUGGGCGUAAAGGGUGCCUAGGCGGCCAAUAAAGUCAGAGGUGAAAGGCUACGGCUCAACCGUAGUAAGCCUUUGAAACGUAUUGGCUUGAGUGCAGGAGAGGAGAGUGGAAUUCCUAGUGUAGCGGUGAAAUGCGUAGAUAUUAGGAGGAACACCAGUGGCGAAGGCGACUCUCUGGACUGUAACUGACGCUGAGGCACGAAAGCGUGGGGAGCGAAC